rnacentral:rRNA from 1 species
CAAGUCGAGCGAACAGAUAAGGAGCUUGCUCCUUUGACGUUAGCGGCGGAGGGCCAGUAACACGUGGAUAACCUACCUAUAAGACUGGGAUAACUUCGGGAAACCGGAGCUAAUACCGGAUAACAUAUUGAACCGCAUGGUUCAAUAGUGAAAGGCGGCUUUGCUGUCACUUAUAGAUGGAUCCGCGCCGUAUUAGCUAGUUGGUAAGGUAACGGCUUACCAAGGCAACGAUACGUAGCCGACCUGAGAGGGUGAUCGGCCACACUGGAACUGAGACACGGUCCAGACUCCUACGGGAGGCAGCAGUAGGGAAUCUUCCGCAAUGGGCGAAAGCCUGACGGAGCAACGCCGCGUGAGUGAUGAAGGUCUUCGGAUCGUAAAACUCUGUUAUCAGGGAAGAACAAAUGUGUAAGUAACUGUGCACAUCUUGACGGUACCUGAUCAGAAAGCCACGGCUAACUACGUGCCAGCAGCCGCGGUAAUACGUAGGUGGCAAGCGUUAUCCGGAAUUAUUGGGCGUAAAGCGCGCGUAGGCGGUUUUUUAAGUCUGAUGUGAAAGCCCACGGCUCAACCGUGGAGGGUCAUUGGAAACUGGAAAACUUGAGUGCAGAAGAGGAAAGUGGAAUUCCAUGUGUAGCGGUGAAAUGCGCAGAGAUAUGGAGGAACACCAGUGGCGAAGGCGACUUUCUGGUCUGUAACUGACGCUGAUGUGCGAAAGCGUGGGGAUCAAACAGGAUUAGAUACCCUGGUAGUCCACGCCGUAAACGAUGAGUGCUAAGUGUUAGGGGGUUUCCGCCCCUUAGUGCUGCAGCUAACGCAUUAAGCACUCCGCCUGGGGAGUACGACCGCAAGGUUGAAACUCAAAGGAAUUGACGGGGACCCGCACAAGCGGUGGAGCAUGUGGUUUAAUUCGAAGCAACGCGAAGAACCUUACCAAAUCUUGACAUCCUUUGACCGCUCUAGAGAUAGAGUCUUCCCCUUCGGGGGACAAAGUGACAGGUGGUGCAUGG